rnacentral:rRNA from 1 species
UACGUAGGUGGCAAGCGUGUCCGGAUUUAUUGGGUUUAAAGGGUGCGUAGGCGGUCUAUUAAGUCAGUGCUGAAAUAUCCCGGCUUAACCGGGAGGGUGGCAUUGAUACUGAUGGACUUGAGUGCAGUCGAGGUAGGCGGAAUUGACGGUGUAGCGGUGAAAUGCUUAGAUAUCGUCAAGAACACCGAUAGUGAAGACAGCUUACUAGACUGUAACUGACGCUGAGGCACGAAAGUGUGGGGAUCAAACAGG